rnacentral:lncRNA from 1 species
UGAUGCUUUGCUGAUGUAAAUGUGUACGCAAUAUAUUUUGGUGUUGAUUUUGUUGAUGUAUUAUGGUUUGGUCGGGUGGAUACAUGCGGCAUAAUCUUCAUGGAUCGUCGUUGGGACUCAACGAUGGAUGAAAAAUAGCAAGUACUUUGAAUAUGCUCAACAAGAACUCCUAACCAUGUCUCACUUAUGGCGUAGUGAAGUGAGGUGAGUCUUGAAAUGAUUCAAAGAUUUUGCAACUAAGGUCAUAUCAUGGACCUCCAAGAUAUUGUAAUAUCCCUAACGGUAAAGACAUAACCAUUUGGGAUUUUGCCUUGUGUGGGUUUGAUAAGUAAC